AAAGCCCGUGCUGCUUUGCACACUGCAAAGUGGCAAAAUGAUGUCCAUGUAAGAAAUCCGAUCAGCGCUUUCAUACGGCAUCUGACGCCAACCUUCGGUUUUGAAUAUUAUCUUCUUUCAUUUCUUGCCAAAAACCUAAUUGAAAAGGCUUCAGGGUUCAGGAAGACGGACACGGACGAACGCAGCAGAGGAUGUCAGGCAGAAACAGUCACUCAGCCACAUUAUUACAUCCCAAAUGGGUUCUGGUCAAAAGUAGGGUACUACAUAGGGAAUAGGGUGCCAUAUGGGUACUACAUAGGGAAUAGGGUGCCAUAUGGGUACGACAUAGGGAAUAGAGUGCCAUAUGGGUACUACAUAGGGAAUAGGGUGCCAUAUGGGUACUACAUAGGGAAUAGGGUGCCAUAUGGGUACUACAUAGGGAAUAGGGUGCCAUAUGGGUACUACAUAGGGAAUAGGGUGCCAUAUGGGUACUACAUAGGGAAUAGGGUGCCAUAUGGGUACUACAUAGGGAAUAGGGUGCCAUAUGGGUACUACAUAGGGAAUAGGGUGCCAUAUGGGUACUACAUAGGGAAUAGGGUGCCAUAUGGGUACUACAUAGGGAAUAGGGUGCCAUAUGGGUACUACAUAGGGAAUAGGGUGCCAUAUGGGUACUACAUAGGGAAUUGGGUGCCAUAUGGGUACUACAUAGGGAAUAGGUCGCCAUAUGGGUACUACAUAGGGAAUAGGUCGCCAUAUGGGUACUACAUAGGGAAUAGGGUGCCAUAUGGGUACUACAUAGGGAAUAGGUCGCCAUAUGGGUACUACAUAGGGAAUAGGGUGCCAUAUGGGUACUACAUAGGGAAUAGGGUGCCAUAUGGGUACUACAUAGGGAAUAGGGUGCCAUAUGGGUACUACAUAGGGAAUAGGGUGCCAUAUGGGUACUACAUAGGGAAUAGGGUGCCAUAUGGGUACUACAUAGGGAAUAGGGUGCCAUAUGGGUACGACAUAGGGAAUAGGGUGCCAUAUGGGUACUACAUAGGGAAUAGGGUGCUAUAUGGGUACUACAUAGGGAAUAGAGUGCCAUAUGGGUACUACAUAAGGAAUAGAGUGCCAUAUGGGUACUACAUAGGGAAUAGAGUGCUAUAUGGGUACUACAUAGGGAAUAGGGUGCCAUAUGGGUACGACAUAGGGAAUAGGGUGCCAUAUGGGUACUACAUAGGGAAUAGGGUGCCAUAUGGGUACUACAUAGGGAAUAGGGUGCUAUAUGGGUACUACAUAGGGAAUAGAGUGCCAUAUGGGUACUACAUAGGGAAUAGGGCGCCAUAUGGGUACGACAUAGGGAAUAGAGUGCCAUAUGGGUACUACAUAGGGAAUAGGGCGCCAUAUGGGUACUUCAUAGGGAAUAGGGCGCCACAUGGGUACUACAUAAGGAAUAGGGUGCCAUAUGGGUACUACAUAGGGAAUUGGGUGCCAUAUGGGUACUACAUAGGGAAUAGGUCGCCAUAUGGGUACUACAUAGGGAAUAGGGCGCCAUAUGGGUACUACAUAGGGAAUAGGGUGCCAUAUGGGUACUACAUAGGGAAUAGGGCGCCAUAUGGGUACUUCAUAGGGAAUAGGGCGCCACAUGGGUACUACAUAAGGAAUAGGGUGCCAUAUGGGUACGACAUAGGGAAUAGGGUGCCAUAUGGGUACUACAUAGGGAAUAGGGUGCCAUAUGGGUACUACAUAGGGAAUAGGGUGCCAUAUGGGUACGACAUAGGGAAUAGGUCGCCAUAUGGGUACUACAUAGGGAAUAGGUCGCCAUAUGGGUACGACAUAGGGAAUAGGGUGCCAUAUGGGUACUACAUAGGGAAUAGGGUGCCAUAUGGGUACGACAUAGGGAAUAGGGUGCCAUAUGGGUACUACAUAGGGAAUAGGGUGCCAUAUGGGUACUACAUAGGGAAUAGAGUGCCAUAUGGGUACUACAUAGGGAAUAGAGUGCCAUAUGGGUACUACAUAGGGAAUAGGUCGCCAUAUGGGUACUACAUAGGGAAUAGGGUGCCAUAUGGGUACUACAUAGGGAAUAGGGUGCCAUAUGGGUACUACAUAGGGAAUAGGGUGCCAUAUGGGUACUACAUAGGGAAUAGGUCGCCAUAUGGGUACUACAUAGGGAAUAGGUCGCCAUAUGGGUACUACAUAGGGAAUAGGGUGCCAUAUGGGUACUACAUAGGGAAUAGGGUGCCAUAUGGGUACGACAUAGGGAAUAGGGUGCCAUAUGGGUACUACAUAGGGAAUAGGGUGCCAUAUGGGUACGACAUAGGGAAUAGGGUGCCAUAUGGGUACGACAUAGGGAAUAGGGUGCCAUAUGGGUACUACAUAGGGAAUAGGGUGCCAUAUGGGUACUACAUAGGGAAUAGGGUGCCAUAUGGGUACGACAUAGGGAAUAGGGUGCCAUAUGGGUACUACAUAGGGAAUAGGGUGCCAUAUGGGUACUACAUAGGGAAUAGGGUGCCAUAUGGGUACGACAUAGGGAAUAGGGUGCCAUAUGGGUACUACAUAGGGAAUAGGGUGCCAUAUGGGUACUACAUAGGGAAUAGAGUGCCAUAUGGGUACUACAUAGGGAAUAGGGUGCCAUAG
ensembl:lncRNA